ACACAUAGAAAAUUUUCUCUAUUUUUAAUUUUUUAAAACUAACAAACAAACAAAAACUGCAUGUUUAGCCUUGUACAUUGUAUUGUAUUUAUUUUGAUUGUAAUUGUACGAAGUUAUGUUGCUGUGGAGACCAUUCCAAUGAAUCAAAAUAUUUCAAAAUUCAUCUCCCAAGAAUCUACUUUAUUCUUUCUCCAUCUAUUUUUAUAACAAUACUUUAUAAGAAAGCAGAAGGCCUUUGCUUUAUCUUGGGCUGGGCUUACUUACCCACCUCAUAAAUGAGGGCCUCCAUGGCAACAAGGUGCUGCAAGGCCCACAACAAAAACAUUGCUUCAUUCCCUUGGGAAGAAUCAGUUUAGGAUUGGAAUUUAGACACACAAUGGGAAAGUCAAAGAAACAAACAAAAAUAAAUAAAUAAAAACCAAAAAAUAAAAAAAAUAGGAGAAAUGAAACAAAGAGAAAAAAAAAACAUGAAGAAAAAUGAAAUAAAUUAGAAGCAAUGUUUUUUUUGUUCCUUGCAGAAUCAUACUUCGAAAGAUAAGUCAUGCGUUCUGUGAGUGAAGUUGGAGAAUGAAUGCUCAUGAACUUCGUCCUCUUUGUUUCUCAAGAUACACUUUUUUCAACAAAAAAUGAAAAUGAAAAUAAAUACAACAUUAAAAGAUGAAACAACAAAAACACUCCCAUCUGCAAGCUUAGCUUACCCUUGAUCAAGUAAAUAAUACUUUUGUUAUACAUUCAAAAUCUACAAUAUUACAUAUGAGCAGUAUCACCCAAGGUUUAGGUUUUAGGGUUUGGAACUGCACUGACCACAGAGAAGCAAGUGGAGAGAAGAUGAGACUUCUAUCCAAAAGUUCCAGUGAGCCCCAAUUACUGCUCUGCCUUGCUUACUAGCCAACUCAAGGUUCCAGCAAAUGUUCCUCAUUCUGUUAUGAUACGGUGAACGCUAAAAUAGACAGCAUAUACUUAUUUUAAGUUAGCAAGUCCUCGUAUAGAAAACCGAACGCUGUAUAAAUGCGUGUAUAUAUAUAUGGGGGUUGAUACAGUUAGCCUUUGUUUGAAAUAUGGUGUAUCUUAGAAUCUGGAAGUUAAUAAUGGGUUCGGCUUAGAAUUGCAGUUGGGAGGAGGAAGGAUCCAAAGAAUCCAUUUACCUGAUUCUCAGCCUGGCUCAUUGGAGCUGUCAAAACCAAACUUUAUUGGGUUUUACAGCUGGUCAGCCAGGUGGGUUGUGCACACAUCGAUAGUUUAUUUUUACUCCACUUCUUCUUCUUCAUCUUCUUCAAUUGUUUCUUACUUAUGGCCUCUACAACUAGCCCUCCUGUUAAAUAAUACUAAGUGUACAACCUUGGGCAUUUCUCCAUCUGCCUUGGUGUGCAUAUUCAUUAAAAACUGUGACUGCCACCCAAGCUUAUGCAUACUCUUUUAAGAGAGGUG
rnacentral:lncRNA from 1 species